UACAGAGGGUGCAAGCGUUAAUCGGAAUUACUGGGCGUAAAGCGUGCGUAGACGGUUGCGUAAGUCAGAUGUGAAAGCCCCGGGCUCAACCUGGGAAUUGCAUUCGAGACUGCAUGGCUAGGAUGCGGAAGAGGGAAGCGGAAUUUCCGGUGUAGCGGUGAAAUGCGUAGAUAUCGGAAGGAACACCAGUGGCGAAAGCGGCUUCCUGGUCCAGCAGUACGACGUUCAGGCACGAAAGCGUGGGGAGCAAACAGGG
rnacentral:rRNA from 1 species